rnacentral:misc_RNA from 1 species
UCCCUCUCUCUCUCUCUCUCUUUUCCCUAAGUUAUAUCAAAAGAAUAGGAUAUGGGUACUGAGAUUUUGAGGCCUCAGGAUUGUUUAUUUGAACGGAUCAGAGUUUCUCCUUGUCGCCGGCGGAAUUUUAACGGCAACUCUUAUACUAAUCCUAAGUAUUAUGACUCUUACUCUAGAUUUAACAGAAAACCAGCUGUCCGGUCUGAAAGGACCGACCAGAGAAAGCGCCAGCCCGAGCCUCCCUCGAUCUCUAAGAGGUCGAAUUCUGUUGAUGAUUUGAAGAUCUCGAGAAACCAAUACCAUGGCUACAAGGCCAACAACAGCAAUCUUCUUACGAACAAGGUUACGAUUUUGCGACGAGGAGAGUCGUUCGAUUCUAAGAUCCAGAACAGUGAAACGGCGGCGGCGUCGAAGAAGGAUCAGUAUCAGGCCGGUUAUAUGGUGGUCACCGGUAUGGAUCGGUUGGGCCCCGACCCAAAAAUGGUAGCAAAGCAGAUGCGAAACGUUGACCUCGGGUCUCCGGUGACCAGGAAGUGCGAUGUGUACGCUGGCUCAGCUUUUGCAGUAUCUCCAGCACCGAGCUCGCUCCCAUUGCCUUCUUUCUCAAAGAAAAAGCAAGUCUCUUUUGAUGACUCAGCUACCAGAGACCUUCGGCGGUUACUUCGACUCGACGUUUGAGAUCCGACUAUAAAACGGAUUCGGAUCCGGAUGGAUAAGCUAUCAAAUAUCAAUCUCUCCACCUCGUGUCAAUUUCGUCUCUGCUCUGGUUUUCGAAGAUCGUAUCCUCCCGUGAAUUUUUUUGUUAAACGGGAGGUAAAUCUUAAAACCGGGAAAAAGUAUAGGGAUGAAUUAGUAAAAAAAGUAUUAUGGGGAUUGUUGCGUAUUGGAGUACAUGGGUAAUUUAGAUAGUAAUCUGGGGCAAAAAAGAAAAAGAUGGGGUUGGUUGUAGAGUAUGGUCCUGUAAAUUGUGAAUGAAUGAAGAUGAUGAAUAUGUAGAGAAUGUGAUGAAUUGUGAAACUGUGAGGAAGUUUAUUGUUGUGUAUUAUAUGAAGGAAGAUGAAAAUUAGUGGAGAUUUAAUCAUAUAUCUUUUGUAGUUUUCCCACUUCAAUGUCAUGCCAUUUCUUGCUUUGAUCUUUGUUAUUAAUAUAAAUAAUAGAUUCUGAUACAG